rnacentral:rRNA from 1 species
UACGAAGGGGGCUAGCGUUGUUCGGAAUUACUGGGCGUAAAGCGCGCGCAGGCGGUCUUCCAAGUCAGUGGUGAAAGCCCGGAGCUCAACUCCGGAACUGCCAUUGAAACUGUAAGACUUGAGGAUGAGAGAGGUGAGUGGAAUUCCCAGUGUAGAGGUGAAAUUCGUAGAUAUUGGGAAGAACACCGGUGGCGAAGGCGGUUCACUGGCUCAUAUCUGACGCUCAGGCGCGACAGCGUGGGGAUCAAACAGG